rnacentral:rRNA from 1 species
AGUGAACGCUGGCGGUAGGCCUAACACAUGCAAGUCGAACGGCAGCACAGUAAGAGCUUGCUCUUACGGGUGGCGAGUGGCGGACGGGUGAGGAAUACAUCGGACUCUACUUUUUCGUGGGGGAUAACGUAGGGAAACUUACGCUAAUACCGCAUACGGCCUACGGGUGAAAGCAGGGGAUCUUCGGACCUUGCGCGAUUGAAUGAGCCGAUGUCGGAUUAGCUAGUUGGCGGGGUAAAGGCCCACCAAGGCGACGAUCCGUAGCUGGUCUGAGAGGAUGAUCAGCCACACUGGAACUGAGACACGGUCCAGACUCCUACGGGAGGCAGCAGUGGGGAAUAUUGGACAAUGGGCGCAAGCCUGAUCCAGCCAUACCGCGUGGGUGAAGAAGGCCUUCGGGUUGUAAAGCCCUUUUGUUGGGAAAGAAAAGCAGCAGGUUAAUACCCCGCUGUUCUGACGGUACCCAAAGAAUAAGCACCGGCUAACUUCGUG